UCCUCUCUGGUCCAGUGGUUCUCAACACUUCUACAGUGGGAAGACAUAUGUGAAAUGUUUAGGACCACUGGCCCCGGG
rnacentral:pre_miRNA from 13 species